AGCUGGCCCCUUGGCUUUCUUCUGUCCCCACGCCGUCUGGUCUCUGUCUGUACAGUCUGGAUGCUGGCGGUUUUCCUGCCUUGCUCUCCAGCCUUACCCUCCCCUCUGAGCCAUUCAUUCAGUGAUUGUUGAGCUACCCUUGUGCGCCGGGCAUCGUUCCAAGUGUUGGGAUACAGAGUUGAACAAGACAUCGCGUUUUCUUGAGGAAGGCAGACUGUAGCCAUGAGAGCUAUGCCAUUUUUGGGCCAGGACUGGAGAUCUCCUGGAUGGAGCUGGAUUAAAACAGAAGACGGCUGGAAAAGAUGUGAACCCUGGAGUGAGGGACUUGAAGGAGAGAAUGACCGGUGUGGCGCCAGCCACGGCACUAUCUUAAAUAGUGAAGAUGAAGAAAUAUUCAAUAAUGAAGAGCAUGAAUAUGCAUCCAAAAAAAGGAAAAAGGACCAUUUUAGAAAUGACAAAAAUACUCAGUGUUUUUAUCGUGAAAAAUGGAUCUAUGUCCAUAAAGAAAGCACAAGAGAAAGACACGGCUACUGCACUUUGGGAGAAGCUUUUAACCGCUUAGACUUCUUCAGUGCGGUUCAGGAUGCCCGGAGGUUCACUUACGUGGCCAGACUGUUGCAGCUGAUCGCAAAGUCCCAGCUGACCUCGCUGAGCGGUGUGGCCCAGAAGAACUACUUCAACGUUCUGGAUAAAAUCGUUCAAAAAGUUCUUGAUGACCACCAAAACCCUCGCCUAAUCAAAGAUCUUCUCCAAGACCUAAGCUCUACCCUUUGCAUUCUAAUUAGAGGAGUGGGGAAGUCCGUUCUGGUGGGAAAUAUCAACAUUUGGGUUUGCCGGUUAGAAACUAUUCUCAACUGGCAACAGCAGCUACAGAAUCUUCAGAUGACUGAGCAGGUGGACAGCGGCCUGACGCUCAGCGACCUUCCCGUGCACAUGCUCAGCAACAUCCUGUACAGGUUCUCGGAUGGGUGGGACAUCGUCACUCUGGGUCAGGUGACCCCGACGCUGUCCGCGCUUAGCGAGGACCGGCGGCUGUGGAAGAAGCUCUGCCAGUACCACUUCGGCGAGAAGCAGUUUUGUAGACACUUGAUCCUUUCAGAAAAAGGUCAUAUCGAAUGGAAGUUGAUGUAUUUUGCACUUCAGAAACAUUACCCCACUAAGGAACAGUAUGGAGACACACUGCACUUUUGUCGGCACUGCAGCAUCCUCUUUUGGAAGGACUGCCGCCUUGCUUUAUUACUCGAGGUACCUCCUGCUCUGCCCGCGUCUGCGCGCGUCCCCAGGAGGCUGGUGCCCCUCAGGCCGCACCCUCUGCUGAUGUGCGACUGGCCUGCUUGCUUCGCCACGACCGGGGGUCCCAUGAGCUGCCCUGUAGACCAGAGGGAGGGUGUAGACUUGGCCGCCGGGUCCCCGGCCUUACUGGCCCCGUCCUGAGGCUGCUCUGUCUCCUGACCUGAGCCCCGUUUCUGCUGCGGGACGCAGUGCUGGGCCCUCUGGUGAGUGGGGUGGGCGGUGCCGAGAGCAGGUCCCGGGGUGGACCCUGACCCACGGCGGGAGGGGAGGAGCGCGGCCAGGACGGGGGCGCAGAGCCCAGGGCUCCCUCUGGGGCCCUAACUCAGGGCGGCCCGUCUCCCCAUCCCCUGGAGCAGGAAUUCCUUCGGGAAGUCUCUCCCCCGGGGAGCCGUGUGGCUGCCUUCAUUUUCGUAGUUUUCAUCGCUUGCUGUCCACGCACCUUUGUGGUGGGGUCCGGGGCGCGUUUAAACAAGCAGCUGGUGACUUCUGAGCUGCGUUCCCUCCAGAAACACGCCCCGUGUGGUAACAACCCACUCCUCCCGCAGGACUCGGGCCACCCCUGCACGGCUGCUGACCCCGACAGCUGCUUCACGCCCGUGUCCCCGCAGCACUUCAUCGACCUCUUCAAGUUCUAAGGGCCCCACCGCGCCGUGGCCUGGGCAGCGUGGUAGGACGCGUCCUUCGUGACCGAGCCGUGACCUGGUGCCCAGGCUGGAGGGCGUGGAGGGACGUGGAAAAGUGCCCUGGCACCUGCGGGCGGGAGCAUCUGUUGUUUCCACGCGUGAAGUGGGGCUAGGGAGCCCAAGGAAAAUCAUUUCUACUUCCUUCUUUAAAAAAUGCUUUUCUUCUAAGCGCAUUAAAAUGUGCAACUUUGCAUGUUUGUGAAUGUGGUUCAGAAAGAGUCUGUAUUUUCAGCACCGCAUCCUGUGCUGAACUGACACUAACAGCCAAGCAUACGCUUCUUAAUUGUCAAAUGAUAGUUUCCUGAUUUUGUAGUGAUCGGGGGCGGGGAUAGAUCAUUGAUCCUUGUAAGGACAUUGUGCAGAAUAUUUAUUUUUCUUGAGAUGUAUUUUAACUGUAUUGGUCGUGUCCAUAUGAAUCCCCUUGGAUACAGAAGGAACCCAGGGAAGUAUGUGCAUGUCUUCUGGGUGCUCAGCGUUGGGUUGUGAAUUGUGCAGACAUCCAAGACCCACAAAGGCGUGAGUCUGGGGCUGUGAUCCUGGGCUCAUGGCCCGAUGCUGGCAGGCAGGGGCCCUAACCUGGGGGCCAGCCCAGUGUGACCUGCACUGUACUGCUCUGAAUCCCCUUUUGCAGGCAAAGUAAUAAAUCAUGUUUAUCUGCCGAUUUUAACUUCAUCAGUUUUGCAUCUUACUGAAGGAAGUAGUAUCAAUGAUUUUGAUAUCAUUUAUUGAAACCUUUCAAAGAUUGUUUUAUUUUCAAAGUAUUGCAUGUACGUUUUAGAAAAUUUUGAAAAUAAAGGUUUAUAAAAGAAUAAAACUUGCAUAUAACCCUGCCACCCAGAGAUAGCUGUGCUUGCCAGAAGGAAUGCAGGAAUGGCCCCGGCAGGUGUAGGGGAGACUGAACAGGGUCAAGGACCCAAGCAAAGUCAUUUCUACUUCCUUCUUAGCACAUGGAAAUUUGCUGUUUUGCAUAUUUGUAAAUAAAGAGUGUAUUUUCACUACAUUCUGUGCUGAACUGACACAGCCAAGACUAUGCUUAAUUGUCAAAUGAUAGUUUCCCUCUGUGUGUAUUGGGUGAAAGCUUUUCAUAAAACCGUAAACAUCAUAUAUACUGUUUUCAUUUUAUAACCAGCCUUUUUUUCAAAAGUGUUUGUGAAAAUAUGGUUUUUACUGGCGACCUGGUACCACACAGCUGGAACAGAUCAUUUUGUGAUCAGCAUCACCACGUGUGCACCUGUGUGCAUCUGCUGAUCUCCUUACGAUAAACGAGAAGCAGAACCAGGGAAAGGAGUCAGUUGUUUGUAAGGAUGUUUCCGGAGCACUGGCGAGGAUGGAAGGCGGCAUCUUUCUCCCCCGAAGAUGGACGUGAAGAGGCUAUGAGAUAAGUGUGAUUUAUGUGCAUAUUCCAACCCCGGUCUGGUUUUGAGGAACAAUGGUAUGAAGAGUUGUUCUGCCAGCUGUGCACCACGGGUGUGUCACGGGCACUGAGCGUCGCAGCACACGGGCACAGGCUCCCCACAGUGAGGACACUGUCCCCACCACCGUGCUGAGCUCCCUUCCUAGAGCCUCGGACACGAGGUCUGCCUCCCUGCACCUCAACACAGGAUUAGCCCAAGACAAGCCCGCGGCUCCUGCUUUAAAAUCCUCGCGUAAAUGACGGCCUGGAGCUCGUCUGCAGCCACAGCAAGCGUCUCUUUAGGGAGAAGGACUACAGUCUAUGGACUGAACCGUUUCCCCGAGGAAACACGGUUUUCAGUUCCAGUAUGAACCAUUUCAAGGUUCUAACGCAAACUGGAUUUUACCACCACUUACAUGUCCCCCUUUCAAGGCUCAGUGAAGUAAACUUCUUGUCUCUUAGAAAAAGAUGGACAUAGAUGACUGAUGGACGCUACGUAGACAGAGAGAGAUGGUUAGAGGACAGGUAUACAUUGUACAUAGAUGGCUGGAGAUGACAGAGUGUAGACAGAUGACUGAUUGAGAAAUGACAGAUGACAGGCAGACACUGUCACCCCCCGGAGUCCACAGAAAUGCUAAAUGGCGCCCCUUUACGUGGAACAGCACAGAACUGAACGCUGAGGACAGUGGCUUUUAAAGAGAGGCAUGCACAGUGUAACUGGAGGGUUUUGUUUUUAACCAAAAAACCCCAAUACCUUCUCCGUGAAGCCACCGUGACCUGAGAUAGACACGUACUCCUGUGGAUCGGAGCUGUCCUGCUGAGGACACACGUGCACGGGUACCUGACCACGGGGCCAGUCUAUCAGGGAGGCAGAGAGCAAGCCUGGAGACACACGAGAUGCCUCAGUGACGUGCCCAAACCAGCCAGUCUCUCAUUUGGAAAAACAAAACCCUGGGUGUUAGAGAAGAGAGGCACUUUCAUCAUUUUACAUACAGUUUUAACUCUUAACAAGCGAGUUAUUAUUUUCCAAACAAAAUUAACUGUCAAGUUACUAAAAUUGAUCCAUGCUUUAUAUAUAGCAUUCUUUGAUCUGCAAUCAAAAACAGAGAACAAAGUUUUAGAAGAAAAUAAGAUCAAUAUUUAAAAGUUCAGGAGAAAUAAAAAUAAAACCUCAAGGUAAGAACCACUGUCAUCAUCUAAUGCGCGUACAGGAGGCUGGAGAUGAAGACGCGUUUGCAGACAGUGCAUUCACGCUGAUCAGAUACAGCCUUUGCUUCUCCAGGGUUUAUUCUGCUUGCAUAUUUUAAAAUUUAGUACAAAAGAAGAGUUAACACAAUGUAACAUGACCUUUGGAAGAUUCAUUUUACACCUGGAUUGCAGGUUUCUGGCAACAGAAGAGAACUGCGCAGCUGCUACAUUCUUGUGUCAUAGACUACACGUAUGUGCUACAUGCAGAGAAAGGGAUCAAGACACGGAACAAA